CCACAUAUUAACAACCCAAAAUUAACGAUCAACCAACCCAAAAUUCAGUGAAACUUCUAUAGUACUCCUUUUUCUUGCAAAUCACACUCGUGCCAUGGAGACAUGAAUAUUACUUGCCCUUGAUCAAUCACAAUUUGAACCAGAACAUAAAUUAACACAAUUUGCCCAAAAAUAGUCUAUACUAGUUCGGUUCAGCAUUUCAAUCCCUCACAGUGUAUUUCAACUCAUCAUCAUUGUCUAACUUCUUUUUCAUUAGAACUCUGUUUUUAUUUUAGCAACAAUGACAAAAGGGGAAAAUUAAUUCAAACUACAGAUGCAAAGAAUCAACUAAAACAUAAAUUCAAAAUUCAUGUUAAACUUAUAUCACAACUGAAGCACUGAAUCACGUAAGAGUAACGAAAUGAAACAUAGGAAGAAGAAAACCUUGAACAAAUUAUUGAGCUUUCCAGUAUGUGAAUCCAAGAGCAAACGAGACAACAGUUCAGGACCUCGAUGAGGCGGAAUCUCGUCGGACGACACUCGAACCUCGACGGAACCAACAGACGGAGCUUUGGACAAAUUAGACAGCAACCUUAGACAAUGACGUUUCCGGCAGAAUCUCAAAAUCAGAACAAAAGGCAAAGGUGCCAAACGACAAAAGAACAGAAACAAUUAUUGUGAUUUCAUCAAUGAGGAACAAAAAUGUGACUUCGUCGGCGUUAAUGGAGGUCGCUGGUCAGACCCAGACGGAUUUCGAAUUAUUUUUACGCAAAAACACAAAUGACGACGUUGUUCUACAAAUUUGCUGCUGCUAGUGGCGUUGUUACUCGCCGGUUAUCAAUUUCAAUGAAGCGACAUCGCGAGUGAGGAACUGGUGAAUGCCGGCUGUGGUGGUUGGCGUGAGAGAAGGGAGCUCUGUUUGGGUUAAGUAGCCAUGGAAGACGCUUCUUCUUCUCUGAAGAAGAAGCUCGUCGUUUGGUUCAGGCAGAAGUAGAAUGUUGAAGCUUUUUCUAAGGGUUAUUUUUAAGUGUUAUUUUGUGUUCAAAGCUGCGCAGCCUCUCCUGGAGAAGAUGAAAAGUCCUUUUCAUAUAUAAAACGGC
rnacentral:lncRNA from 1 species